AUACUGAUGAAGAGUCCCGAACUUGGACGAAACAGCUGUCCAGUAC
rnacentral:hammerhead_ribozyme from 1 species